ACGAGUGGCGGACGGGUGAGUAAUGCUUGGGAAUUUGCCUUUAGGUGGGGGAUAACAGUUGGAAACGACUGCUAAUACCGCAUAUUAGCUACGGCUUAAAGGGGGCUUCGGCUCUCGCCUUUAGAGAAGCCCAAGUGGGAUUAGAUAGUUGGUGAGGUAAAGGCUCACCAAGGCGACGAUCAGUAGCUGGUCUGAGAUGAUG
rnacentral:rRNA from 17 species